rnacentral:rRNA from 1 species
UACAGAGGUGGCGAGCGUUAUUCGGAAUUAUUGGGCGUAAAGGGCGCGUAGGCGGUCACGCGAGUCUUGGGUGAAAUCCCUCGGCUCAACCGAGGAACUGCCUUGGAAACUGCAUGGCUCGAGGCCGGGAGAGGGUAGCGGAAUUCCCAGUGUAGCGGUGAAAUGCGUAGAUAUUGGGAGGAACACCGGUGGCGAAGGCGGCUACCUGGACCGGUUCUGACGCUGAUGCGCGAAAGCGUGGGGAGCAAACAGG